ensembl:lncRNA
GGAGGUGAUGGGCAGCAGAAUAUCAGUAUGAGGAGGUGAUGGGCAGCAGAGGUCCGAGGAGGUGAUGGGCCGCAGAGGUCCGAGGAGGUGAUUGGCAGCAGAGGUCCGAGGAGGUGAUGCGCAGCAGAGGUCCGAGGAGGUGAAGGGCCGCAGAGGUCCGAGGAGGUGAUGGGCAGCAGAGGUCCGAGGAGGUGAAGGGCCGCAGAGGUCCGAGGAGGUGAUGCGCAGCAGAGGUCCGAGGAGGUGAUGGACAGCAGAGGUCCGAGGAGUUGAUGGACAGCAGAGGUCAGAGGAGGUGAUUGGCAGCAGAGGUCCGAGGAGGUGAUGGGCAGCAGAGGUCCGAGGAGGUGAUGCGCAGCAGAGGUCCGAGGAGGUGAUGCGCAGCAGAGGUCCGAGGAGGUGAUGGGCAGCAGAGGUAUGAGGAGUUGAUGGGCAGGAGAGGCCUGAGGAGGUGAUGGGCAGGAUAACAGCUGUGUUCAGAAUGCAGGUGAUCCAGAGAUGGUAACAAAUGAAGCCAUGACCUUUGAAGACAGAUGGGAGUUUGGGGUGCGAAGAACACAGUCAGAACACAACCGGCUCUCAGUAAAUCUUGAAUAGAAAACAUGGAGAGAAGGAAAGAUAUAGAGAAGUC